rfam:Psychrobacillus sp. FJAT-21963 super1, whole genome shotgun sequence.
UUCACCUUUAAUAACAGUCCAGAGAGGCUGAGAAGGUACAUGUGAAAGUGACUCACUAUUUGUCUGCGGACUUAUUUUGUGGGUGCACCCUAUUUUAUUACGCACAUACAACCUCUUGGGCAUCUCUAGCUCAAGAGGUUUUUUAUU